UACGUAGGGGCAAGCGUUGUCCGGAUUAUUGGGCGUAAAGAGCGUGUAGGCGGCCAGACAGGUCCGUUGUGAAACUCGAGGCUCAACCUCGAGACGCCGAUGGAAACCGUCUGGCUAGAGUCCGGAAGAGGAGAGUGGAAUUCCUGGUGUAGCGGUGAAAUGCGCAGAUAUCAGGAAGAACACCCGUGGCUAAGGCGGCUCUCUAGUACGGUACUGACGCUGAGACGCGAAAGCGUGGGGAGCGAACAGG
rnacentral:rRNA from 1 species